rnacentral:rRNA from 1 species
CGGUCCUAAGGUAGCGAAAUUCCUUGUCGGGUAAGUUCCGACCUGCACGAAUGGCGUAAUGAUGGCCAGGCUGUCUCCACCCGAGACUCAGUGAAAUUGAACUCGCUGUGAAGAUGCAGUGUACCCGCGGCAAGACGGAAAGACCCCGUGAACCUUUACUAUAGCUUGACACUGAACAUUGAGCCUUGAUGUGUAGGAUAGGUGGGAGGCUUUGAAGCGUGGACGCCAGUCUGCGUGGAGCCAACCUUGAAAUACCACCCUUUAAUGUUUGAUGUUCUAACGUUGGCCCCUGACCGGGGUUGCGGACAGUGUCUGGUGGGUAGUUUGACUGGGGCGGUCUCCUCCCAAAGAGUAACGGAGGAGCACGAAGGUUAGCUAAUCCUGGUCGGACAUCAGGAGGUUAGUGCAAUGGCAUAAGCUAGCUUGACUGCGAGCGUGACGGCGCGAGCAGGUGCGAAAGCAGGUCAUAGUGAUCCGGUGGUUCUGAAUGGAAGGGCCAUCGCUCAACGGAUAAAAGGUACUCCGGGGAUAACAGGCUGAUACCGCCCAAGAGUUCAUAUCGACGGCGGUGUUUGGCACCUCGAUGUCGGCUCAUCACAUCCUGGGGCUGAAGUAGGUCCCAAGGGUAUGGCUGUUCGCCAUUUAAAGUGGUACGCGAGCUGGGUUUAGAACGUCGUGAGACAGUUCGGUCCCUAUCUGCCGUGGGCGCUGGAGAAUUGAGGGGGGCUGCUCCUAGUACGAGAGGACCGGAGUGGACGCAUCACUGGUGUUCGGGUUGUCAUGCCAAUGGCACUGCCCGGUAGCUAAAUGCGGAAGAGAUAAGUGCUGAAAGCAUCUAAGCACGAAACUUGCCCCGAGAUGAGUUCUCCCUGAGACUUUAAGUCUCCUGAAGGAACGUUAAAGACGAUGACGUUGAUAGGUCGGGUGUGUAAGCGUAGCGAUACGUUGAGCUAACCGAUACUAAUGAACCGUGAGGCUUAACCUU